UUGGCUCUGCGAGGUCGGCUCAAG
rnacentral:miRNA from 1 species